rnacentral:rRNA from 1 species
UACGUAGGGUGCAAGCGUUGUCCGGAAUUAUUGGGCGUAAAGAGCUCGUAGGCGGUCUGUCGCGUCUGCUGUGAAAACUCAGGGCUUAACCCUGAGCUUGCAGUGGGUACGGGCAGACUAGAGUGCGGUAGGGGAGACUGGAAUUCCUGGUGUAGCGGUGAAAUGCGCAGAUAUCAGGAGGAACACCGGUGGCGAAGGCGGGUCUCUGGGCAUGUCCUGACGCUGAGGAGCGAAAGUGUGGGGAGCGAACAGG